rnacentral:rRNA from 1 species
UGAGGAAUAUUGGUCAAUGGGCGAGAGCCUGAACCAGCCAAGUAGCGUGCAGGAUGACGGCCCUCCGGGUUGUAAACUGCUUUUAGUUGGGAAUAAAAAAAGGGACUUGUCCCUUCUUGUAUGUACCUUCAGAAAAAGGACCGGCUAAUUCCGUGCCAGCAGCCGCGGUAAUACGGAAGGUCCAGGCGUUAUCCGGAUUUAUUGGGUUUAAAGGGAGCGUAGGCGGAUUGUUAAGUCAGCGGUUAAAGGGUGUGGCUCAACCAUGCAUUGCCGUUGAAACUGGUGAUCUUGAGUGCAGACAGGGAUGCCGGAAUUCGUGGUGUAGCGGUGAAAUGCUUAGAUAUCACGAAGAACUCCGAUCGCGAAGGCAGGUGUCCCGGCUGCAACUGACGCUGAGGCUCGAAAGUGUGGGUAUCAAACAGGAUUAGAUACCCUGGUAGUCCACACAGUAAACGAUGUAUACUCGCGGUUUGCGAUAGACAGUAAGCCGCCAAGCGAAAGCAUUAAGUAUACCACCUGGGGAGUACGCCGGCAACGGUG